UACGAAGGGGGCUAGCGUUGCUCGGAUUGACUGGGCGUAAAGGGCGCGUAGGCGGUUCGUACAGUCAGACGUGAAAUUCCUGGGCUCAACCUGGGGGCUGCGUUUGAUACGUGCGGACUUGAGUGCGGAAGAGGGUCGUGGAAUUCCCAGUGUAGAGGUGAAAUUCGUAGAUAUUCGCAAGAACACCAGUGGCGAAGGCGGCUCACUGGCCCGGUACUGACGCUGAGGUGCGAAAGCGUGGGAGCA
rnacentral:rRNA from 1 species